rnacentral:rRNA from 1 species
GGGUGGUAAUACCGGAUGCUCCGCUCCAUCGCAUGGUGGGGUGGGAAAUGCUUUUGCGGCAUGGGAUGGGGUCGCGUCCUAUCAGCUUGUUGGCGGGGUGAUGGCCCACCAAGGCGUUGACGGGUAGCCGGCCUGAGAGGGUGACCGGCCACAUUGGGACUGAGAUACGGCCCAGACUCCUACGGGAGGCAGCAGUGGGGAAUAUUGCACAAUGGGCGCAAGCCUGAUGCAGCGACGCCGCGUGCGGGAUGGAGGCCUUCGGGUUGUAAACCGCUUUUGUUCAAGGGCAAGGCACGGUUUCGGCCGUGUUGAGUGGAUUGUUCGAAUAAGCACCGGCUAACUACGUGCCAGCAGCCGCGGUAAUACGUAGGGUGCGAGCGUUAUCCGGAUUUAUUGGGCGUAAAGGGCUCGUAGGCGGUUCGUCGCGUCCGGUGUGAAAGUCCAUCGCCUAACGGUGGAUCUGCGCCGGGUACGGGCGGGCUGGAGUGCGGUAGGGGAGACUGGAAUUCCCGGUGUAACGGUGGAAUGUGUAGAUAUCGGAAAGAAC